GAGUUUGAUCCUGGCUCAGGAUGAACGCUGGCGGCGUGCUUAACACAUGCAAGUCGAACGGGAAAUAUUUCAUUGAGACUUCGGUGGAUUUGAUCUAUUUCUAGUGGCGGACGGGUGAGUAACGCGUGGGUAACCUGCCUUAUACAGGGGGAUAACAGUCAGAAAUGGCUGCUAAUACCGCAUAAGCGCACAGAGCUGCAUGGCUCGGUGUGAAAAACUCCGGUGGUACAGGAUGGGCCCGCGUCUGAUUAGCUGGUUGGCAGGGUAACGGCCUACCAAGGCAACGAUCAGUAGCCGGUCUGAGAGGAUGAACGGCCACAUUGGAACUGAGACACGGUCCAAACUCCUACGGGAGGCAGCAGUGGGGAAUAUUGCACAAUGGGGGAAACCCUGAUGCAGCAACGCCGCGUGGGUGAAGAAGUAUUUCGGUAUGUAAAGCUCUAUCAGCAGGGAAGAUAAUGACGGUACCUGACUAAGAAGCUCCGGCUAAAUACGUGCCAGCCGCCGCGGUAAUUC
rnacentral:rRNA from 1 species